CCAACUACGUUCAGCGACGCUGGCGGCGUCUUACCAUGCAAGUCGAACGAUGAACCACUUCGGUGGGGAUUAGUGGCGAACGGGUGAGUAACACGUGGGCAAUCUGCCCUUCACUCUGGGACAAGCCCUGGAAACGGGGUCUAAUACCGGAUGACACUCCUACUCGCAUGGGUGGGGGUUGAAAGCUCCGGCGGUGAAGGAUGAGCCCGCGGCCUAUCAGCUUGUUGGUGAGGUAGUGGCUCACCAAGGCGACGACGGGUAGCCGGCCUGAGAGGGCGACCGGCCACACUGGGACUGAGACACGGCCCAGACUCCUACGGGAGGCAGCAGUGGGGAAUAUUGCACAAUGGGCGAAAGCCUGAUGCAGCGACGCCGCGUGAGGGAUGACGGCCUUCGGGUUGUAAACCUCUUUCAGCAGGGAAGAAGCGAAAGUGACGGUACCUGCAGAAGAAGCGCCGGCUAACUACGUGCCAGCAGCCGCGGUAAUACGUAGGGCGCAAGCGUUGUCCGGAAUUAUUGGGCGUAAAGAGCUCGUAGGCGGUCUGUCGCGUCGGAUGUGAAAGCCCGGGGCUUAACCCCGGGUCUGCAUUCGAUACGGGCAGACUAGAGUGUGGUAGGGGAGAUCGGAAUUCCUGGUGUAGCGGUGAAAUGCGCAGAUAUCAGGAGGAACACCGGUGGCGAAGGCGGAUCUCUGGGCCAUUACUGACGCUGAGGAGCGAAAGCGUGGGGAGCGAACAGGAUUAGAUACCCUGGUAGUCCACGCCGUAAACGGUGGGAACUAGGUGUUGGCGACAUUCCACGUCGUCGGUGCCGCAGCUAACGCAUUAAGUUCCCCGCCUGGGGAGUACGGCCGCAAGGCUAAAACUCAAAGGAAUUGACGGGGGCCCGCACAAGCAGCGGAGCAUGUGGCUUAAUUCGACGCAACGCGAAGAACCUUACCAAGGCUUGACAUCGCCCGGAAAGCAUCAGAGAUGGUGCCCCCCUUGUGGUCGGGUGACAGGUGGUGCAUGGCUGUCCUCAGCUCGUGUCGUGAGAUGUUGGGUUAAGUCCCGCAACGAGCGCAACCCUUGUUCUGUGUUGCCAGCAUGCCCUUCCGGGUUGAUGGGGGACUCACAAGGAAACUGCCGGGGGUCCACUCCGAAGGAAGGUGGGGGACAGACGUCAAGUCAUCAUUGCCCCUUAAUGUCUUUGGGCUGGCAACCGUUGCUAC
rnacentral:rRNA from 1 species